rfam:Arabis alpina cultivar Pajares Aa.chr7_contig_2811, whole genome shotgun sequence.
AACCCGUGAUGAGGAUAGUCUCUCUGAUAUCCUUUGAAUCUUUCCCACGCAGCCUUGAAAGAUUCUGUCAGAUUCUGAAUGAACGUGGAGAUCUUAUCUCGUAGAU